UACGUAGGGGGCAAGCGUUGUCCGGAUUUAUUGGGCGUAAAGAGCGUGUAGGCGGCCAUGCAGGUCCGCUGUGAAAACUGGAGGCUUAACCUCCAGACGUCGGUGGAAACCGCAUGGCUAGAGUCCGGAAGAGGAGAGUGGAAUUCCCGGUGUAGCGGUGAAAUGCGCAGAUAUCGGGAAGAACACCCGUGGCGAAGGCGGCUCUCUGGGACGGUACUGACGCUGAGACGCGAAAGCGUGGGGAGCGAACAGG
rnacentral:rRNA from 1 species